rnacentral:misc_RNA from 1 species
GAUGAAGAACGUAGCGAAAUGCGAUAAGUAAUGCGAAUUGCAGAAUUCAGUGAGUCAUCGAAUCUUUGAACGCACAUUGCGCCCUGUGGUAUUCCGCAGGGCAUGCCUGUUCGAGCGUCAUUUCAACCCUUAAGCUCUGCUUGGUGUUGGGCCCUGCCCGCUGCGGCCGGCCCUAAAGACAGUGGCGGUGCCGCCUGGCCCUGAGCGUAGUACAUCUCUCGCUCCAGUGCCCGGUGGUAGCCUGCCAGAACCCCAACUCUCGUGGUUGACCUCGGAUCAGGUAGGGAUACCCGCUGAACUUAAGCAUAUCAAUAAGCGGAGGA